CCAUACAGUUAGCAGCCAUUGCUAACUAACUUAGUAGCUAGGUAGCGUUACCUAGAUAGCUAACCUCUUGACCAUCCAAGUCCUGUCUCCAACGAGGAUUAAAGACUACAUGGGUUGUUCUCAACACACGUUUAACCAGGUGGAGUCAGGCUUCUACUCAGGAGACAGAUGAUGCUGCUGCCCCACGGUAAGAACCUGGAGAUCUUCACUGAGGGAGGUGACGUGGCCACAAACAUUCAUAGACAGAGCUAUGGAUGCAAGGACAGACCUUUGCUCCUCCUAAAACCCCAUUGGAGGAGAUGACCCAAGGUUCUUCGCCUCAGACCUGCUCCAAUAGGAUUUGAGAAGGAUGCAAGUAGAGGAAAUGGCUCCUGGAUGCUGAUGAAAUCUGACUGAAAUUAGACUGUAGUCAAUAAAACUUUCAAUGCCAAAUUGAAAUCAUGAUUCUGUAAUUGAUAGAAAAUGAUAGUUCCCAAUCAGACAAUUACUACAUAUCAAAUCUGUUUCUCAGUGCAAUGUUUAGUGAAUGCAUGGCAUCGUUUUUGCUGUGUGUACUGAUUCAGUUCUAAACGACCAUCAUCGAGUCCAUUCUCAACCUCCUUGAUCACUGCAACAAUUGGCCGGUCUGCUGAGAGGGUUAUUGGCUGCCACCUGCCCUCCAUUGAGGUCUCGCAUGACUCCAGGGCAAGGAAGCGUGCGGAAAAGAUCAUUGCCGACCCCUUCCACCCUUUUCCAAACGGUUCAGGUCAAUCACGACCAAACCCCCCCCCCGCCACCUGAACAGCUCCUUCCCCCGCGCCGUGGCCCUCACCAACCGGCCACCUGGUCCACCAUGAUUCUCUCAUCCAUGGACUUUGAACUCUGCCCUAUUCAUCCACAGACUAUGCACCCUGCACCAUUAUCCAGGAACUGCACAUUGCACAUCUCUUCCGUACAUAAUUUAGCCAGGUCCCAUUAGACUGAAAUUCAAACCAAAAAGGUGCCAAGACUUUAAAGAGAGAAAUUGAGAGUGAAAACUUGACCAUGAAAAGUUAUUAUUGCUGGUGGACAAUUUGAUGCAUUCAAAUGUAUUUUUACAUGUUUGAAUCACGUUUCUUUGCUUCCAGUUUGAUAUGUAUUAUUUAAGACAUUUUUCUGUGGCAAUUAUGUUCUGCUCGUAGGAGUUGAAGUUAGCUGGAUACCCAAUAAGCUUGUUGUUGAGUGAGAACUUCAGCGAUUGAAAUACUUAGCAAAGAGCUGCAGUUAGUUUUGGAAUGGGUAGAAAGGAAUAAGUUAGUCCUAAAUAUUUCCAAAACUAAAAGCAUUGCAUCUGGGAAAAAUCCCUCACUAAACCCUAAACACGUCUCGUAAUGAAUAUGGAAAUUGAGCAAAUUGUGGUGACUAAACUGCUUGGAGUAACCCUGGAUUGUAAACUGUCAUGGCCUAAACAUAUUGAUGCAACAGUAGAUAAGAUGGGGAGAUGUCUCUCCAUAAUAAAGUGCUGCUCUACCUUAACAACACUAUCAACAAGGCAGGUACUACAGGCCCUAGUUUUGUCGCACCUAGACUACUGUUCAGUAGUGUGGUCACAGAGGGACUUGUAGGUGGCUCAGAACAGGGCAGCACGGCUGGCCCUUAAAAGUACACAGAGAGCGAACAAUGACAUGCAUGUCAAUCUCUCAUGGCUCAAAGUGGGAGAGAGAUUGACUUCCUUAUUACUUGUUUUUGUAAGAGGUGUUGACAAGCUGAAUGUCCGGAGCUGUCUGUUUAAACUACUAGCACACAGCUCGGACACCCAUGCAUACCCCACACAAGACAUGCCACCAGAGGUCUCUUCACAGUCCCCAAGUCCAGAACAGACUAUGGGAGACGCACAGUACUAAAUAGAGCCAUGACUACAUGGAACUCUAUUUCACAUCAGGUAACUGAUGCAAGCAGAAUAAUCAUAUGUGUAUUUCUACCUGCUUUUUACCUCGUGGAAUAACAGGGACUGUGAAGAGACACACACAAAAGGUACAGACCCAUGCAUACACACACACACACACACAGUGAUAUUGUUAUUGAACAUUUGUGUUGUGGAUAUGUGGUGGUGUAGGGAUGUUAUAUGAUAUACUGUUUUAUCUUUAGCUCAUUCAGUACAAACAUAGUUCACUGUUAUCUGUUGUUUUAGAAGUAAUGUGGGUGCUUUAGUGUGUUUGGACCCCAGGAAGGGUAGCUGCUGCCUUGGCCGCAGCUAAUGGGCAUCCCUAUUUUUUUUUAAUGUAUCCGUUAUUUUACCAGGUAAGUUGACUGAGAACACGUUCUCAUUUACAGCAACAGCCUGGGGAAUAGUUACAGGGGAGAGGAGGGGGAUGAAUGAGCCAAUUGUAAACUGGGGAUUAUUAGGUGACCGUGAUGGUUUGAGGGCCAGAUUGGGAAUUUGGCCAGGACACCGGGGUUAACACCCCUACACUUAUGAUAAGUGCAAUGGGAUCUUUAAUGUCCCAUCCGAAAGAUGGCACUCUACACAGGGUAGUGUCCCCAAUCACUGCCCUGGGGUAUUGGGAUAUUUUUAGACCAGAGGAAAGAGUGCCUCCUACGUGCCCUCCAACACCACUUCCAGCAGCAUCUGGUCUCCCAUCCAGGGACUGUCCAGGACCAACCCUGCUUAGCUUCAGAAGCAAGCCAGCAGUGGUAUGCAGGGUGGUAUGCUGCUGGCAAAUAAUAAAUAGACAUUUCAUAUUUAGCCUAGCUAGCCAGUUAUAUUUGUGUAGCAAAGUAGUGCGCAACAGCCAUGGAAUACUGCAUACAUUUUAAAAGACAUUACAUCAUAAAUAGUAUGAAAAUGAGCACAUACUACGCAGUUUAAGUACAGUAUGUUGGAUGCAACAUACUGGAUGCUAUUAUGGGUAUUCGGACAUGGCGAGUGUCUGUGUUAUCGCAGGAUCCAUGUUCCAGUUGAUAGAUCCUAUAGAAGGCAGACUGAUGGCAGCACCUGGUAGGGGAUUAACCUGAGGCGCCAUCUGUCUCUCUGAAUCUCAACUAUAGGAGCAGGACGGAGCAUCGCUAGCAGAGUCUGUCUGUCUUCUCUCCCGCCGCAAACCGACACCUCCCAGUCUCCGCAGACUAAAUCUACGCUUCAUCCUGGUCUCAGUCAGUCUGUUGUAGUGAAGAUUAAGUUUGGUUGUUUUGUGUUCGACUGUCUGUUUCUGGUUAACAGUGUUGUUCCCCAGUCCAGAGUUGAGGACACUGUCCCAUCCACUGACCUCCACUAUGUCGCCUCUGGUCCUGUCCUGCUCAGUGAUAU